rnacentral:misc_RNA from 1 species
GAUGAAGAACGCAGCGAAAUGCGAUAAGUAAUGCGAAUUGCAGAAUCCGUGAGUCAUCGAAUCUUUGAACGCACAUUGCGCCCCUUGGUAUUCCGAGGGGCAUGCCUGUUCGAGCGUCAUUAUAACCCUCAAGCUCAGCUUGGUGUUGGGGCCUGCUGCACUGGCAGCCCUUAAAAUCAGUGGCGGCGCCAUCUGGCUCUAAGCGUAGUAAUUCUUCUCGCUAUGGAGUCCUGGUGGAUGCUUGCCAUCAACCCCCAAUUUUUCUAUGGUUGACCUCGGAUCAGGUAGGGAUACCCGCUGAACUUAAGCAUAUCAAUAAGCGGAGGA